rnacentral:rRNA from 1 species
CAAGUCGAACGAGAAAGUUCCUUCGGGAGCGAGUAAAGUGGCGGACGGGUGAGUAACGCGUAGGAAUCUACCUUUCAGUGGGGGAUAGCUCGGGGAAACUCGAAUUAAUACCGCAUACACCCUUCGGGGGAAAGGGGGCCUCUCCUUGGAAGCUCUCGCUGUUAGAUGAGCCUGCGUGAGAUUAGCUUGUUGGUAAGGUAAUGGCUUACCAAGGCUACGAUCUCUAGCUGGUCUGAGAGGACGAUCAGCCACACUGGGACUGAGACACGGCCCAGACUCCUACGGGAGGCAGCAGUAGGGAAUAUUGGACAAUGGGGGCAACCCUGAUCCAGGCAUGCCGCGUGUGUGAAGAAGGCCUUAGGGUUGUAAAGCACUUUAAGUGAGGAAGAAAAGAUUUAAAUUAAUACUUUAAGUCCCUGACAUUAUUCACAGAAUAAGGACCGGCUAACUCCGUGCCAGCAGCCGCGGUAAUACGGAGGGUCCAAGCGUUAAUCGGAAUUACUGGGCGUAAAGCGCGCGUAGAUGGUUUAUUCAGUUGGGUGUGAAAUCCCUGGGCUCAACCUAGGAACUGCAUUCAAAACUUAUAAACUAGAGUACGAAAGAGGAGAGUAGAAUUCAUGGUGUAGCGGUGAAAUGCGUAGAGAUCAUGAGGAAUACCAGUGGCGAAGGCGACUCUCUGGUUCGAGACUGACAUUGAGGUGCGAAAGCGUGGGUAGCAAACAGGAUUAGAUACCCUGGUAGUCCACGCCGUAAACGAUGAGAACUAGCCGUUGGAUCUUUAGAUUCAGUGGCGCAGCUAACGCAUUAAGUUCUCCGCCUGGGGAGUACGGCCGCAAGG